UCAAGUUAUUAAGGGUGCAGGGCGGAUGCCUUGGCACUAGGAGCCGAUGAAGGACGUGAUAAGCUGCGAUAAGCUUCGGGGAGUUGCACGUAAACUUUGAUCCGAAGAUUUCCGAAUGAGGAAACUCACUUAGAGUAAUGUCUAAGUAUCAUUAAGUGAAUACAUAGCUUAAUGAGGGGAACUCAGGGAACUGAAACAUCUAAGUACCUGAAGGAAGAGAAAGAAAUUCGAUUCCGUAAGUAGCGGCGAGCGAACGCGGAUUAGCCCAAACCAAUAAAGUUUUCUUUAUUGGGGUUGAGGACAUACCACAUAUAAGAGGUCAUUAUAGACGAAGAAGUUUGGAAAAACUCAUCAUAGAAGGUAAUAAUCCUGUAGUCAAAAUAAUAAUUCUUUAGGUAUGAUCCAGAGUACCACGGGACACGUGAAACCCUGUGGGAAGCAGGAGGGACCACCCUCCAAGGCUAAAUACUACCUAGUGACCGAUAGCGUAUAGUACCGUGAGGGAAAGGUGAAAAGAACCCCGGGAGGGGAGUGAAAUAGAACCUGAAACCCUGCACUUACAAGCUGUGGAAGCACAUUUCUUGUGUGACCGCGUACUUUUUGUAGAACGGGCCAACGAGUUACGUUAAGUAGCAAGGUUAAGCACUUAAGGUGCGGAGCCGUAGCGAAAGCGAGUUUUAACUGAGCGUUCAGUUACUUGACGUAGACCCGAAACCGGGCGACCUACCCAUGAGCAGGAUGAAGCGAAAGUAAAAUUUCGUGGAGGUCCGAACCCACGAGCGUUGAAAAGCUCGGGGAUGACUUGUGGGUAGCGGUGAAAUUCCAAUCGAGCCCGGAGAUAGCUGGUUCUCCCCGAAAUAGCUUUAGGGCUAGCCUCAAGGUGAGAGAUACGGAGGUAGAGCACUGAAUGUCCUAGGGGGUAUUGCACCUACCGAAGACUAUCAAACUCCGAAUGCCGUCAUCUUAUACUUGGGAGUCAGACUGUGGGUGAUAAGAUUCAUAGUCGAAAGGGCAACAGCCCAGAUCGUCAGCUAAGGUCCCUAAAUGUAAGUUAAGUGGUAAAGGAUGUGGGAUUGCACAGACAACCAGGAUGUUGGCUUAGAAGCAGCCACUCAUUCAAAGAGUGCGUAAUAGCUCACUGGUCGAGUGAUCCUGCGCCGAAGAUUUCCGGGGCUAAAACUUACUACCGAAGCUACGGCAUCAGUAAUGAUGGGUAGGGGAGCUUCCCAUACGGGUUGAAGCAUGACCGUAAGGACAUGUGGACAGUAUGGGAGUGAGAAUGUUGGCAUGAGUAGCGAGAUGUGGGUGAGAAUCCCACAGGCCGUAAACCCAAGGUUUCCAGGGAAAGGUUCGUCCGCCCUGGGUUAGUCGGGACCUAAGCUGAGGCCGAAAGGCGUAGGUGAUGGACAACAGGUUGAUAUUCCUGUACUACCGAUAACCGUUUGAGAGAAGGGAUGACACAGUAGGAUAAGCUAAGCACACUGUUGGUUAUGUGUGCCCAAGCAUUGAGGCAGUCAAAGUAGGCAAAUCCGCUUUGAUAAUGCUGGGAUGUGAUGGGGAGCGAAAUUUAGUAGCGAAGUAGCUGAUUUCACACUGUCAAGAAAAGUCUCUAUCGAGGUUAAAGGUACCCGUACCGCAAACCGACACAGGUGGGUGAGGAGAGUAUCCUAAGGCCAGCGAGAGAACUGUUGUUAAGGAACUCGGCAAAAUGACCCCGUAACUUAGGGAUAAGGGGUGCCACCAUCAGGUGGCCGCAGAGAAUAGGCCCAAGCGACUGUUUACCAAAAACAUAGGUUUCUGCUAAGUCGCAAGACGAUGUAUAGGAGCUGACGCCUGCCCGGUGCUGGAAGGUUAAGGGGAUCUGUUAGAGCAAUCGAAGCAGUGAACUUAAGCCCCAGUAAACGGCGGCCGUAACUAUAACGGUCCUAAGGUAGCGAAAUUCCUUGUCGGGUAAGUUCCGACCCGCACGAAAGGCGUAACGAUUUGGGCACUGUCUCAACAACAGACUCGGUGAAAUUGUAAUUCCGGUGAAGAUGCCGGAUACCUGCGACAGGACGGAAAGACCCCAUGGAGCUUUACUGUAGCUUGACAUUGGGUCUUGGUACUACAUGUACAGGAUAGGUGGGAGGCUUUGAAACCAGGACGCCAGUUUUGGCGGAGCCAUCCUUGGGAUACCACCCUUGUAGUACUGGGACUCUAACCAUAGGCCAUGAAUCUGGUCUUGGGACACUGUCAGGUGGGCAGUUUGACUGGGGCGGUCGCCUCCCAAAAGGUAACGGAGGCGCUCAAAGGUUCUCUCAGUACGGUCGGAAAUCGUACGUAGAGUGUAAAGGCAAAAGAGAGCUUGAUUGCAAGACAUACAGGUCGAGCAAGGAUGAAAAUCGGACUUAGUGAUCCGGUGGUUCUGCGUGGAAGGGCCAUCGCUCAACGGAUAAAAGCUACCCUGGGGAUAACAGGCUUAUCUCCCCCAAGAGUCCACAUCGACGGGGAGGUUUGGCACCUCGAUGUCGGCUCAUCACAUCCUGGGGCUGUAGUAGGUCCCAAGGGUUGGGCUGUUCGCCCAUUAAAGUGGUACGCGAGCUGGGUUCAGAACGUCGUGAGACAGUUCGGUCCCUAUCCGUCGCAGGCGUAGGAAAUUUGAGAAGACCUGUCCUUAGUACGAGAGGACCGGGAUGGACGUACCUCUGGUGUACCAGUUGUCCUGCCAAGGGCAUGGCUGGGUAGCUAUGUACGGAAUGGAUAAGCGCUGAAAGCAUCUAAGCGCGAAGCCAACUUCAAGAUAAGAUUUCCCACCGCAAGGGUAAGACCCCAGAAAGACUAUCUGGUUGAUAGGUCGAAGGUGUAAGUGCAGCAAUGUAUUUAGCUUAUCGAUACUAAUAGGUCGAGGACUUGACCAA
rnacentral:rRNA from 1 species